rnacentral:sRNA from 1 species
CAUACGCGGGUAACAUUGGUUCCGAUAUCAUCAGUACCAGAAUAUAAAAAUAUCCGCGCCCGCCACACUUUAAACUGCCGUUCUAGAAGGCAAGAAGAACAACCUCUGCGAUGCGAUGCGGCUAGCCAAGGAGUAUUUUUAUCUACUCCUUUUUUCACAAGUGCCAAAAUUGCAUUCAUCAAAGAAAAAGAAUCAACAAAAGGACAUAUGUAGUGAGUCUUACUCGUAAAUAUCUAGCUAUCACACAAUAUCCACAGUAUGUGAGAACAAUAAGCCGUUAUAGUUACGUGGGGUGGAAAGGUUCGAAUAAUCAAAUCAAUGAAUACCGAGUCAGCAA